rnacentral:rRNA from 1 species
UGCAGUCGAACGGUAACAGGCCUAUGUGAUCCCUUCGGGGUGAACUUGGUGCUGACGAGUGGCGGACGGGUGAGUAAUGCAUAGGAAUCUGCCCUUUAGCGGGGGAUAACUCGGGGAAACUCGGGCUAAUACCGCAUACACCCUACGGGGGAAAGCGGGGGCCUUCGGGCCUCGCACUAUUGGAUGAGCCUAUGUCUGAUUAGUUUGUUGGUGGGGUAAUGGCCUACCAAGGCGACGAUCAGUAGCUGGUCUGAGAGGACGAUCAGCCACACUGGGAUUGAGAUACGGCCCAGACUCCUACGGGAGGCAGCAGUGGGGAAUAUUGGACAAUGGGCGAAAGCCUGAUCCAGCAAUGCCGCGUGUGUGAAGAAGGCCCGAGGGUUGUAAAGCACUUUCAACAGUAAAGAAAAGUUCGGUGCUAAUACCACCGAACCCUGACGUUAGCUGUAGAAGAAGCACUGGCUAACUCCGUGCCAGCAGCCGCGGUAAUACGGAGGGUGCGAGCGUUAAUCGGAAUUACUGGGCGUAAAGCGUGCGUAGGUGGCUUGGUAAGUCGGAUGUGAAAGCCCCGAGCUCAACUUGGGAAUUGCAUUCGAUACUGCUAGGCUAGAGUAUGGUAGAGGGAAGUGGAAUUUCCGGUGUAGCGGUGAAAUGCGUAGAGAUCGGAAGGAACACUAGUGGCGAAGGCGGCUUCCUGGACCAAUACUGACACUGAGGUACG